AUGAAGAAACUUCAGUUGCACAACAAAACAUACAGCAAGGUAUUGCAGAUGCAUUGCCUUGGCGUUGCUCUUGUGUUGAUGGUCUUCUGCUUGCCCUCUCCUACCAGUUCCUGCACGGAGCAGGAGAAGGACUCCCUUCUCCGGUUCCUUGCCGAGCUCUCCCAAGACGGCGGCCUCUCCGCAUCAUGGCAGAACGGCACGGAUUGCUGCAAGUGGGAAGGGAUCACAUGCAUGCAAGACGGGACGGUCACCCCUGUCUUACUGCCUUCGAAGGGCCUCGAGGGGCGCAUCUCGCAGUCUCUUGGGACGCUCGCCGGGCUACAGUACCUUGAUCUCUCUCACAACUUGUUGUCCGGUGGUCUGCCGCUGGAAUUAUUGUCUUCCAGCAGCAUCGCCAUCCUUGAUGUCAGCUUCAACCAGCUCAACGGAACACUCCAUGAGCUGCCAUCUUCAACACCUGCCAGGCCUCUGCAGUUGCAGGUACUAAACAUCUCAAGCAACUUAUUUGCAGGACAGUUUCCAUCCGCCAUAUGGAAAGCAAUGGAGAAUCUGGCCGCACUCAAUGCCAGCAGUAACAGCUUUACUGGGCGGAUAACAACUCAAUUCUGUAACAGCUCACCAUCCUUCACUCUGCUUAAUCUGCGUACCAACAAAUUUAGUGGCAACAUCCCCCAAGGACUCAGUGAUUGCUCCAAGCUGCGAGUGCUCAGAGCCGGGGAUAACAACCUCAGUCGAACGCUCCCAGAUGAACUCUUCAAUGCAACCUCGUUCGAAUACCUGUCUUUCGCAAACAAUGAUUUACAUGGAGUUCUUGAUACUGCAAACAUAGUCAACCUCAGAAAUCUCAUAACCCUUGAUCUUGGAGGGAACAUAUUCAGCGGAAAGAUUCCAGAUUAUAUAGGCCAACUCAAGAGACUGGAGGAGUUCCAUUUGAACAACAACAACAUGUCAGGGGAGCUGCCAUAUGCUCUCAGCAACUGCACAAAUCUCUUAACAAUCGACCUCAAGAGCAAUCACUUCAGUGGAGAACUUGCCAAGGUCAAUUUCUCCAACCUGCCCAACCUAAAAACUUUAGAUCUAUAUUCCAACAACUUAUCCGGCACAGUUCCAAAAAGCAUAUACUCGUGCAGUAAUCUGACUGCACUGCGGCUAUCUACUAACCACUUACAUGGGCAGCUCUCGUUGAGACUAGGUAAUCUGAAGUAUCUCUCCUUCUUGUCACUUAGCAAAAACAAUUUCACAAACAUCACAAACGCACUUCAGAUUCUUCAGAGCAGCAAGAACCUGACUGCAGUGUUUAUUGGGUACAACUUUUGGGGAGAGAUCCUCGCACAGGAUGAAACAAUUGAUGGUUCUGGAAGUCUUCAGGUUCUCGAUAUGCAAGGUUGCAAUUUUUCCGGGACAAUACCUGUAUGGAUAUUAAGGGCUACAAACUUACAGAUGUUAAUUUUAUGUGGCAAUCGACUCACUGGGCCAAUACCAGGCUGGAUUAGCUCUCUACGUCAUCUCUUCUAUAUGGAUGUGUCAAGCAACAGUCUUACAGGAGAAAUCCCAUUAACCUUAACCGAGAUGCCAAUGCUUAAAUCAACUGAUAACGCAACUCAUUUGGACUCAACGGUCUUUGAGCUAAUAGUUUAUAACAGCCCAUCACUUCAGUACCGUAUGAUCACAUCUUUCCCAGCAGUGUCGAAUCUAGGCAACAACUACUUGACAGGUGUAAUUCCACCACAGAUUGGCCAGCUCAAAGCGCUUGCCGCUCUUGAUUUCAGUUUUAAUAAGCUAUCCGGGGAGAUCCCACAAUCGGUUUGCAACCUAACAAACUUGCAGGUGCUAGACUUGUCCAGUAACAAUCUCACAGGUGCUAUCCCAGUUGCAUUGAACGCCCUGCACUUCAUUUCAGCAUUCAACAUUUCAAACAAUAACCUAGAAGGACCUAUUCCAUAUGGAGGCCAGUUUGAUACAUUUCAGACUUCUAGUUUCAACGGGAACCCACAGCUGUGUGACUCUGUUCUCACUCAAAAAUGCAAUUCAGCAGAAGCGCAUCAACCCGUCAUUCUGUCAGAAAAAAGAGCUGACUAUAAGAUGGCCUUUGUGAUUGCAUUCAGUGCGUUCUUUGGUGUAGGGGUGUUGUAUGAUCAGUUAGUCUUGUCAAGGUAUUUUGGCAAGUCCUACUAA
rnacentral:rRNA from 1 species